AAAAGAGGUCGUCAAAUGGGUCAUGUGGGUCAAAAGAGGUCGUCAAAUGGAUCAUGAGGGUCAAAAGAGGUCGUCAAAUGGGUCAUGUGGGUCAAAAGAGGUCGUCAAAUGGGUCACGUGGGUCAAAAGAGGUCGUCAAAUGGGUCAUGUGGGUCAAAAGAGGUCGUCAAAUGGGUCAUGUGGGUCAAAAGAGGUCGUCAAAUGGGUCACGUGGGUCAAAAGAGGUCGUCAAAUGGGUCAAAUGCAGAUAAACGACUCUUCCCGUGUGGCAUUUUUCCCCUUCAAGACACGGCCCGCAUUCUCAGCUGCCUUCGCCUCUCAUAACCAAUAUUUCCAAAGGUCACAAUUAAAGGCCCUCCGUCUCGUCCCUCCUCUCCCGUUUCUCAUCAUUCCCUGCUCUCAGAUGCGUUCACUGUGUGUUGUUUUACUUGGUGCUUCACAUGAUGCUGGUGAUUCGAGAUUCGUGUGUGUGUGUGUGUGUGUGUGUGUGUGUGUGUGUGUGUGUGUGUGUGUGUGUGUGUGUGUGUGUGUGUGUGUGUGUGUGUGUGUGUGCGGCAGAGCAAUGCACCACGUGGUCCUCAAGGUGUUGGAGUUUACAAACCUUGGCCGAGUAAUGGAGGCUUCUGGUGGACACACACACACACACACACACACACACACACACACACACACACACACACGCACACACACACACACACGUUAAACACUGAACGUAAGUCUCGUGGUGUUUACAUCUAUUUCUGUAUUUCGGGGGUCAAGAAGUUAGUGGAUGAAAGGCGGGGCGGGGCGGGGCGGGACGGAGCGGGAUUUGGAGGCGCGGGCGGUAUGGUGUGGGUGUGGUGUGGGGCGGGGUGUGGGGCAGAAUGGACGGUGUACUACUAACAGGAGUAAAUGGUGGUGGGCGUGGGUC